ensembl:snoRNA
CAGCAUGUUUCCAAGGGCUGUGGCCAAUCGUGGCCAUGGGAUCUCCGACGUCAUGUGGGAGCAGCCUGGAGAGACUUUGACAGCACAAGUCAGCGUACUUGUGACUGCCACUCACAUUGCCUAGAACA